GAAAUAGCCCAGUGCCCGGUCAGGUGGCCUUGUUCGCGAGCACAUCUCGGAGCGUCUCCCCGGUCUCAAGUGUUUUAACUCAAAUGGGUGAUGAAAAGGACUCUGGAAAGUGAAAACUUUAGAUGAAAUUCUUCAGGAAAAGAAACGAAGGAAGGAACAAGAGGAGAAAGCAGAGAUAAACGCUUAAAAAAUGUAAGCCAUAUUUUUUAAGUAAGUGGUUUUCUUAAAGGAGAUUUAAUUUCUUUGCCCUCAUUUUUCCAUUAGAACAACGCUUCUUCGGUGAAGUUCUUUUGUACUUCCAAAUGUCGCAGGUGAGCCCAAAAUCUAUUCUAAAAAUUAACAAAAACAUUCAAAUAUUCAGUUGACAUUAAAGGCAGAUUUAACACACUAAAGCUGUGUCUAGAUUGAGCAUACAUGGAAAAUAAAAUAUUUUGAAUGUUAAGUCAUUAGCAAA
rnacentral:sRNA from 1 species